CUAUCAAUUUUCUUCCUAGCCGUGGCCAGCGAACAAAGAAAUUCGAAUCUAUUCUCUUUUGUGGCACUAUCACAAGUGUGGCAGGCUACUGUUAUGGAUGAGUGUCCCUUUUUCCCUCAGCUAGAACUUGAUCAUUUGCAUAAGAAUGUGUAAUGAAGUCGUUGACAAGUUGGAAUAAGGAACAAAGUGUCGGCUAAAGUGCAAACGGCCACAGAGAUGCGUAUCAUUUCCAGUGCGACAACCUACUCGUCCUUUAUUUGAUUUGAUUAUUAGGAACAGCCAGUAGCAAAUUAAAUAGAUGACACAGUACGUACGUACUCGAUGAAGUGUAAUAUACCAAAGGCCAAACUUCGAUCCAGCCGAAAUGGAGUGGAUGGUGCUGCACGUUUUAACUUAACUUGGAAGGAAAAGGAUAACGAGGCAGUACCAACUAAAAGGUGGAUCUGAACGACGGAGUUGUGCAACUGGAGCGUGUCGGAACUUGAGAGAAAGGAGAUCCUCCCAUCUCGAGGGAUAUGUAGUAAGUGAUCAUCGGCAACUUGAAGCUGAACGCUCAUUUUUUCCCCUCUUCUUUCCUUAUUGUUGUACGUAAGACUGUCACUUCCAUCCAGUAGGAUCAUAACGGAAGAAAAGGACUUCCUGCACAAGUUCAUUAAUACUCGUGUGGCAAAAGAAAAGGAGUAAUUGGCAAGACGCAGUUUAAAGUUGGUUGACGUUAUCCAUAAAGAAAUUCAUUGCAAGUUAAGCGUGCUCCUGAAAUUGUGCGCUUCAUGCCUUUCGAAAUGGUUCUUCAGAAUCAGAGGUGUAUAAAAUGGUACAUAGUUCACGGUGUAAUAGCACGUUCAAUUUUACGCUUUCUUGGUUGUCGAUUGUUGCAAUCUAAACGAACCUAAAUAUUCAGUUUUACUUGCCCACGCCAAGAACCCAUCGGUUUAAACGCUGGGAGAAAAGCCUAUAACUGCACAUUUCAUCGGCACGACUCACAAACCCAUCGAUUGAAGAAAUCGAUAAGGUAUUUCUUCAUCUAAUAAUACUUUGUCGAUUUCGUCAUUAUUUCAAGAGUAUCUGACGAUCUUCCCACGAACAAUAGAAUAUGUUUGACAUUUAACUCCGGAUUCCAUUACGAUGCUGGAUGCAAUUUUCAUCAUGGAUGCCAUAAUUUGACCGCGAUGCUCUUUGGCUUGUUUUAUGCGAGAGCGAUGUUUGUAAACUCAUUGUGUCGACUCCUUGAAGUGAAACUUUUUCAACUUUUAAAUGGAAAGCCAUGCCCAAUCAAGCUCCUUCUUUACAGCCUUCUUUACUAAGUAUUCUGUCAAGUUUCGGGUUAUUGAUUUGCCAUCCAAUUUCUUUUGGAAUCCUACUAUACUUGGCUGGAUCUCUUUUAUUUAUUUCGUGGUUCUGAGCAAUAAUAAGACGGGACGUUAUUUGCAGAUUUGCCAUCCACUUACCCAGUUCUUCGAACUCCGCCGUUUUCUAGAAGGGCAGGGGAAGCGGGGCUUGAUCCCCUUUGUUUCUCAAGAGCAGUGUGUUACAAUACGAAACACAGGCUAGUUUGCACACGAUCGGAAUCUUCGGGUUGCGCCGAGUUCUACUUAUGGUCGUACUUUAUACAUUUCACAAUCUUCUUUGGCUUCGCCAACUUCUUUGACUUGACAAAUAUUCGAAAACAUGGAAUGUUUGACUUCUUCGAUUUAGAAUUCACUGCAUCUUAGUCUCCCUGCGGGAAUUAAGAUUUCGAUCCAGGAGAAUCAGAUUUUUACGCCUCUUCCAACAAUCGAGAACGACCAACUUGUAACUACAGGAGUCCACCCACUAACAAGACGUAGGAUAUACUUAACUAACUAAGUCAACACGUUACAAGAGAAUACUCAUAAAUACGACAUUUUAAAACUUCGCAAACGUUAUAUUACAGUUUCAGUCCAGAUAAAUAUAGUAAUCCACUUAUAGGUUUUUUAGAUGUAGUCGAUCACGGUCGCAGUCAUCACGUUUGGAAUCAAUCGCCAUCGUUUCUUUCUGAUGUGAACCACUGGUGACGACGUAUAGAUUU